ACACUUCAAAACCUUCCCAAUAGUCCCUCAAAGUCUUAACUCAUUUCAGCAUUAACCCAAAAGUCCACAGUCCAAAGUCUCAUCUAAGACAAGGCAAGUCCCUUCUGUCUAUGAGCCUGUAAAAUCAAAAGCAAGCUAGUUACUUCCUAGAUACAACAGGGGUACAGGCAUUGGGUAAAUACAGGUGUUCCAAAUGGGAGAAAAUGCCAAAAAAAAAAAAAAAAAAGGCAUUACAGGGCCCAUGGAAGUCUGAAAUCCAGCAGGGCAGACACAUUUUAAAGCUCCAAAAUAAUCUCCUUUGACUCUAGGUCUCACAUCCAGGUCACACUGAUGCAAGAGGUGGGUUACAAUGGUCUGGGGCAGCUCCGCCCCUGUGGCUUUGCAGGGUACAGCCUCCUUCCCGGCUGCUUUCAAGAGCUGGAGUUGUGUGUUGUCGUGUCUGCAGCUUGUCCAGGUACACGGCGCAAGCUGUCGGUGGAUCUACCAUUCUGGGUCUGGAGGACGGCGGUAGCUCUUCUCUUCUCACAGUUCCACUAGGCGGUACCCCCAGUAGGGACUCGGUGGGGGCUCCAACUCCACAUUUCCCUUCCACACUGCCCUAGCAGAGGUUCUCCAUGAGGGCCCCGCCCCGGCAGCAAACUUUUGCUUGCGCAUCCAGGCGUUUCCAUAUAUCCUCUGAAAUCUAGGUGGAGGUUCCCAAACCUCAACUCGUGACUUCUGUGCACCCACAGGCUCAACACCACGUGGAAGCUGCCAAGUGGGGCUUCC
rnacentral:lncRNA from 1 species